GGGAGAGGAGAGUCGGAGUCGGCGGACGGCGGUGGUGGCCGUCUGUUUUGCUCGCUGGAGACCGAAGACGGCAGCGGCCGUGGCUCGCUGCGGCCGCCGGAGGUAGAACCGCGGUGGCGGAUUUUUGGCGUGAAGAGAGAGAGAGAGUGAGAUGGGAAGGGUGCUGCUGCGUGUGUGUGUGAGUGUGACCGAGAGAGAGAAUAGGGAAG
rnacentral:lncRNA from 1 species